rnacentral:tmRNA from 1 species
GGGGCUGACAAAGCUUAGACGGAUUAUUAACAGAUACCAAGCACGACGAUUAGUACCGUAAGUACAAAACAAGUGAAGAAAACACUGAAGCUAAGCAUGUAGCUUACAUGCCUGCUUUUGCCUAGUUUAAUUUUAGGCUGGCUAGCUCUGUGAGUUUCCAUAACAGGGAUAGUUAUCAUAACUUAUGGGAAUAGGAUUCUUAUCUGACGAACAGGGAUCUAAAAUCACGUCAUGACAUCUAACAGGUUUUGUCUGUUUGUGCUGUUAGGAUAUGUCGAGAGAACAGAUAGACUAUGCGUGUAGAAUGGUAUCUAGAGAUGGUUCGGACCCGGAGGCAGUAUCCGGCAGCUCCACCA